rnacentral:rRNA from 2 species
CAUGCAGUCGAGCGGAUGAAAGGAGCUUGCUCCUGGAUUCAGCGGCGGACGGGUGAGUAAUGCCUAGGAAUCUGCCUGGUAGUGGGGGACAACGUUUCGAAAGGAACGCUAAUACCGCAUACGUCCUACGGGAGAAAGCAGGGGACCUUCGGGCCUUGCGCUAUCAGAUGAGCCUAGGUCGGAUUAGCUAGUUGGUGAGGUAAUGGCUCACCAAGGCGACGAUCCGUAACUGGUCUGAGAGGAUGAUCAGUCACACUGGAACUGAGACACGGUCCAGACUCCUACGGGAGGCAGCAGUGGGGAAUAUUGGACAAUGGGCGAAAGCCUGAUCCAGCCAUGCCGCGUGUGUGAAGAAGGUCUUCGGAUUGUAAAGCACUUUAAGUUGGGAGGAAGGGUUGUAGAUUAAUACUCUGCUGUUUUGACGUUACCGACAGAAUAAGCACCGGCUAACUCUGUGCCAGCAGCCGCGGUAAUACAGAGGGUGCAAGCGUUAAUCGGAAUUACUGGGCGUAAAGCGCGCGUAGGUGGUUUGUUAAGUUGGAUGUGAAAUCCCCGGGCUCAACCUGGGAACUGCAUUCAAAACUGACAAGCUAGAGUAUGGUAGAGGGUGGGUGGAAUUUCCUGUGUAGCGGUGAAAUGCGUAGAUAUAGGAAGGAACACCAGUGGCGAAGGCGACCACCUGGACUGAUACUGACACUGAGGUGCGAAAGCGUGGGGAGCAAACAGGAUUAGAUACCCUGGUAGUCCACGCCGUAAACGAUGUCAACUAGCCGUUGGGAGCCUUGAGCUCUUAGUGGCGCAGCUAACGCAUUAAGUUGACCGCCUGGGGAGUACGGCCGCAAGGUUAAAACUCAAAUGAAUUUGAGGGGGGCCCGCACAAACGGUUGGACCAUGUG